rnacentral:rRNA from 1 species
UACAGGGGGGGCAAGCGUUGUUCGGAAUUACUGGGCGUAAAGGGCCAGUAGGCGGCCGACUAAGUUCGACGUGAAAUCCCAAGGCUUAACCUUGGAACUGCGUCGGAUACUGGUGGGCUUGAAUUCGGGAGAGGGAUGCAGAAUUCCAGGUGUAGCGGUGAAAUGCGUAGAUAUCUGGAGGAAUACCGGUGGCGAAGGCGGCAUCCUGGACCGACAUUGACGUUGAACGGCGAAAGCUAGGGGAGCAAACGGG